rnacentral:lncRNA from 1 species
AGCCUACAGAUCCAGGACGCCGCAGAGCGAAGCGGGAUGCGCUGGAGAUCUCCAAGACUGUUAAACAACUGGCAGAGGAACAAUGUAGUGUUUUGGGAAAGAGUCGGUUAUUGAUUAUAGACGUCAACGUCCACCUGGAACGGUUCCUUAGCAUCUCAUCUCUUAUGCUUCAGGCAGAGAGUGCUAUCCCUGUGUGUGAAUAGCUGAAUCGUGGGCCGUAGCAAAAUAAAUGUGAAGAGCUGUGAAUGU